rnacentral:lncRNA from 1 species
UGGCAAGGUGGCUUGGCAGGUAAAGGCUCUUGCCAUGAAAGGUUGACGGCCUUCGAGCGAGAGUUCAAUCCCCGGAACCGCCAUGAAAAUGGAUAGAGUUGACUCCACAAAGCCGUCCUCUGACCCCUGCAGCGGCUUCACCACACACAUUGUUUCUGGAGAAGUGGUGUGCACACUUAGGUGCUAGAGGCAGGAGGAUUGCCCCAAGUUUGAGGCCACCCUGGCCUGCACAAUGAGUUCCAGGCGAGCCAGAGACACUGGCUCCAAAUAAACAAACAAGUGAACAAAGAAACAAAACUCAACACGGGCCCACUGAGGAGGAUCAGCACAGAAACCUAGGCAGACAGCCUCUGAGGAAGGAUGCUGAUGUCUUCUGCCCUCCUCAUGCAUGUGUGCACUGUUACACACAUAAACACACACACACACCAGCAAAGACAGACAGGAGCCAGCGUCCCCAAGGCCAAGGCCUAUACUUGAAACCCAGAUGAAAACCCAGACAGCGUGUUGUGGGGAGGGGAAGCACUCCUCUGGGCCGGUCCCUUUUGCAUUCUGAUGAAACCGAUGUCCUAGAGGAGAAGUAGGGCAGGAAUAAAUCUGGCCCUCCCUGCGUCCCAUCGGUGAUGGCUCCUGUGUGCAGGGGCCUCAUUUACCAGGUCCGGUGGGAAAAGCCCUGAGCGGAGCUGUGUGAGCAAACCGGCUGGGCUCCAUGGAGACGGGGCCCAUAAAAGUGUCUUCUUCCAUUUUCAAGGUAAAUAGAUGUCACCGCCACCGGGAAACAGAGAUCGGCAAUGUGGGCCUCGGAUCCUGUGUUACCAGGGCUGCUGGGCUUGAACCCACUGAGGGCUGAAGGAGAGCACGAGGAUACAGUAACUAACCGUUUGCCAAAGUGAAGCCACUUGGGGAUGGCCGUGCUAAUCGCCUUCACGGCGGACAUGCGUGUGAAAUAUCAUAAAGCAUAUACAGAAUUGCGUGUAUCAAUUAAAGAUUUCCCCCCAGGUUGGGUCAGUAAGAUGGUUCAGUAGUUAACAUGCUUGCCCACCACCACUGCCCCCAAGCCUGAGGUCCUGAGUUCAAUGCCCAGGCCCUGCUUGGGAGAAGGAAAGAACUGACCCCUGCAAGAUGUCCUCUAACCUCCACGUAUGCACUGUAGUAUGCGUGCGCACUCCUAAACCUUCCCUGGGAAACGAAAGGGCAGCUGCACUUCAGGGCCCUGCACAAAGUGAGAACAAGGCCGAUGCUUGGGAGGGGCCAUAUAUUUAGACCGUAUGUUCCAGCAAGCACACCGUGUGAGCGAAGGCCUGUACAUGCGGCUGGGGGAGGCAGGGGAUAGCGUGGGUUUCGUAUAGCUGACUUCCCGCCCGUCUGAUCUCGAGACAGAAGGAAAACAACAGUGUAUUCUGUGCUUGGAUCCUGCACACAUUUGGUUUUCCAUGGCCUCCCUCAUGGGCUAGGACCUACCAUCUUGGCUGGAAGAUAGAGUCUCACAAUACGGCUCUGGCUGGCCCAGAACUCUCUAUGUAAACCAGACCAGCUGGCCUCAAGUUCACAGAAAUGUCUCCAUCUCGAAGUGCUGGGAUUAAAGGUAUGCGC